GUUUAUGAGUGAAGGAUAAAGAUACUAUAGCACACUCAAACUGAAAGAUCCCACACAGAGAGACCCUUACUCAAGUCUUGGGAAAUCGUGGACCCCAGACACAGAGAGACCA
rnacentral:pre_miRNA from 14 species